AUGAGGGGCUGCGGCUUCAGCAAACUCAACCAAGCACUGAUCACCAUGUUGCCGAAGCGCGCGGACGCGACCACUCUGAAUGACUACCGGCCUAUAAGUCUUAUUCACCUAGUGGCAAAGAUCUUUGCUAAAGUGCUGUCCCUACGACUCGCCCCGAAGCUGGACAGCCUUGUGAGCCGGAGCCAAAAUGCGUUCAUCGCCGGCAGGAGCCUCCACGACAACUUCAUUCUAGUCAAGCAAUCAGCCCGGCUUCUCCACCAGUUGGGUGCCCCAUGA
rnacentral:rRNA from 1 species